rnacentral:tRNA from 1 species
GCGUGGGUAGCCAAGCCAGGCCAACGGCGCAGCGUUGAGGGCGCUGUCCCGUAGGGGUCCGCCGGUUCGAAUCCGGUCCCACGCACUA